GCCGCGGCGGUGCCGCGAGGCGGCGCUGCGGGAGCCCAGCUGGGCCCGGCCCGCUCCCUCCGUGGGUUUUCCUCUUUGCUAUGACGGUGCUGAGAGGUGCGUUCGGGAGUUGCUCUCAUCUCCCCACACUGUGCUGCUGCUGCUAAAACGCUGCGCACCGGGAGAACAGAAAAACCAUCGCAGGGAAACAAACGAGCUUCUGUAUCCAGGAGUCCCUUGCACGGGCAAAAGGUUCAAGGAUGCCUGAGCAAAACCCAGGACAGCCCUAGAGCUCCCUCAGUUCAUUGCUGCCUGAGCAUCCUCAGCGCCUUCCAGGCGCUUGAAUCCAAAUCUUCGGGACCAAUCCUGCAUUCAUAAAGCAUCGAGCUGAAGCUUUGAUGGCAAGGUGGAACACCUUCGGACAAAGAGAAGCACAGCCAGCCUCUGAAAAGCAGACCCUUUUGGAUAAAUUGACCUGGAUAAAACAACAAGGACAAGAUAGCAUUCAACUAAGUGUGCUGAAAGAGCAAAUAUGAAAUUUCUGAGCUACCAAAGCAGAACUUACACCAGCCACCACCUCAAGGAACAAAGUCAGAUAUAUUGAAUUAUGACAGAAGAAUUCUCCAGAAGUCCACUGAGGACACUCACAGAACACUGCCAGAUGAUCGAACAUCCAAGACAGGGAGGAGUGAGAAGAGCCUUUUCACCCAGUCCCAUCUAUGCCUCUGAAGGUCUGAAGUUCUAUUGAACUCGCCCAGUCCUUAACUUGUGGAAGUUAGGGAAGAUGUGAUUCUAUUAGACUCUCCUUUUUCCUCCUAUGCUGAACACCCUACAAGGUUGCAACAGGACCACAGACAGGCCUUGACCACACAUUGAAGGGCACAGUAUGAAAGGCAGCUGCCAGAGUUGGAAGAAUCAAUGUCAGCUCUUUCUCUUUGCCAAAAAGACUAUUGAUUCUCUAUACUUACUCCUGUAACUUGGCUGACAGAUUCGUAGGACAACAAGAAUCUCAGCUAAGAACAGUGCUGCUUCAGCCAGUUGUUCUUAAUAACACUGCCAAGAAAAGAAGAUUUAUAGACAGGAGUUGAACACAA